rnacentral:rRNA from 1 species
CAGUCGCCGCGGUAAUACGGAGGGUGCAAGCGUUAAUCGGAAUUACUGGGCGUAAAGCGCACGCAGGCGGUCUGACAAGUCAGAUGUGAAAUCCCCGGGCUCAACCUGGGAACUGCAUUUGUGACUGUAUAGCUAGAGUACGGCAGAGGGGGAUGGAAUUCCGCGUGUAGCAGUGAAAUGCGUAGAUAUGCGGAGGAACACCGAUGGCGAAGGCAAUCCCCUGGGCCUGUACUGACGCUCAUGCACGAAAGCGUGGGGAGCAAACAGGAUUAGAUACCCCCGUAGUCCCUGUCUCUUAUAC